UACGGAGGGUGCGAGCGUUGUCCGGAAUCACUGGGCGUAAAGGGCGCGUAGGCGGCGCGGGUAGUCAUCGGUGAAAGUUCAGGGCUCAACUCUGAAUCGGCCGGUGAUACUCCCGUGCUCGAGCACUGUAGAGGCAGGCGGAAUUCCGGGUGUAGCGGUGGAAUGCGUAGAGAUCCGGAAGAACACCGGUGGCGAAGGCGGCCUGCUGGGCAGUAGCUGACGCUGAUGCGCGACAGCGUGGGGAGCAAACAGG
rnacentral:rRNA from 1 species